rnacentral:lncRNA from 1 species
AUCUCAGCUACCUCAGGGCGGCUAUCUCAGCGCAGCUAUCUCAGUUAUCUCAGUAGUUUUCAGCGCAGAAUGUCCGAGCCGUUGUCAGUUCAGAAUGUCUAUGCUCCGCGCAGGAAUAUCGUAAGCCGCGAAAGUUAGACAAGGUUCUUUGAUUGUCUAUGCUCCGCGCAGGAAUAUCGUAAGCCGCGAAAGUUAGACAGGGGUGUACCAUCUUAAGGGCCGCGUUGCGGAAAUGUACCAUCUUAAGGGCCGCGUUGCGGAAAUGUACCAUCUUAAGGGCCGCGUUGCGGGGAUGUACCAUCUUAAGGGCCGCGUUGCGGAAUGUACCAUCUUAAGGGCCGCGUUGCGGAGUGUACCAUCUUAAGGGCCGCGUUGCGGAAAUGUACCAUCUUAAGGGCCGCGUUGCGGAAAUGUACCAUCUUUGUCAGUGCAGGUAGUGCAGCGCAGUCAGCGCGGGGUUGUCAGCGCAGUCGGUGCAGCGCAGUCAGCGCGGGGUUGUCAGCGCAGUCGGUGCAGCGCAGUCAGCGCGAGGUUGUCAACGCAGAUCACUUGAGUCUUCCCAGCACAGGUUAUCUAAGCCCUUAUUAUCUUUAAUGAUGUUCGACGAAUCAAAAGGAAUAAUUGCUAUCUCUUUUAUCUCAGCUUAUUUCCAGCAUUAAAAUACUUUGUCUUUAUCAUUUUUGCAAAGAUUGACAGUUCUUGUCUAAUAAGUCGCAGGGAAUCGUGUAUGCUUAAUUGACACGGGAGAGCAGCACAGCGCUGACUUCACACCACACACCACUAGUUGAACAAAGAGAACGCUGUUCAACUAGACUAGGGGGGAGUAGCUGAUGAGGACUGUAAUUCCCAUCAGCGUUGUGCUUAGCAAUCUAAGCCUAUUUUACCUUAUUAUUACUAUUAUUAUUAUUAUUACAGAAACUAACAGCGCAGGUACGAUCGGAUAUCUUGGAUAAAAGAGUAAGAAAUCCACCUAAGUAGAUGGAGUGAAGAAUGAUUGCACACAGAAACCUUCCCACGCAGCCAAGGUGCCUUCCUGCGCAGCCAAGUAGCUUUCCCGUGCAGCCGCGCAGCCAAACCAGAGCAGCGCAGCCGAGCUGCACAGCCAGACCAGAGCAGCGCAGACCAAACCAAAGCAGCGCGGACCAGAGCAGAGCAGCGCAGACCAAAGCAGCGCGGCAGCGCUGCGCAGUCAGAGCAGCGCCACCAAAGUGCCUUUCCUGCGCAGCUACGUAUGAUAGUUCAACUUCGGGAAUAAGACCAUUGUACUGAGUUUUGGGCCCAAUUGACUAGAUGAGUG